CCGAGCAUAGCUAAACAUAGCAUAGCACCUCCCUUACACUGAGAUAUUAUCCGUG
rnacentral:rRNA from 1 species